GACGAACGCUGGCGGCGUGCUUAACACAUGCAAGUCGAACGGAAAGGCCCUGCUUUUGUGGGGUGCUCGAGUGGCGAACGGGUGAGUAACACGUGAGUAACCUGCCCUUGACUUUGGGAUAACUUCAGGAAACUGGGGCUAAUACCGGAUAGGAGCUCCUGCUGCAUGGUGGGGGUUGGAAAGUUUCGGCGGUUGGGGAUGGACUCGCGGCUUAUCAGCUUGUUGGUGGGGUAGUGGCUUACCAAGGCUUUGACGGGUAGCCGGCCUGAGAGGGUGACCGGCCACAUUGGGACUGAGAUACGGCCCAGACUCCUACGGGGGGCAGCAGUGGGGAAUAUUGCACAAUGGGCGGAAGCCUGAUGCAGCAACGCCGCGUGCGGGAUGACGGCCUUCGGGUUGUAAACCGCUUUCGCCUGUGACGAAGCGUGAGUGACGGUAAUGGGUAAAGAAGCACCGGCUAACUACGU
rnacentral:rRNA from 1 species